UGAGCACAAAACAAAGUGGAUCCAAAGC
rnacentral:piRNA from 1 species